GACGAACGCUGGCGGCGUGCUUAACACAUGCAAGUCGAACGGAAAGGCCCUGCUUUUGUGGGGUGCUCGAGUGGCGAACGGGUGAGUAACACGUGAGUAACCUGCCCUUGACUUUGGGAUAACUUCAGGAAGCUGGGGCUAAUACCGGAUAGGAGCUCCUGCUGCAUGGUGGGGGUUGGAAAGUUUCGGCGGUUGGGGAUGGACUCGCGGCUUAUCAGCUUGUUGGUGGGGUAGUGGCUUACCAAGGCUUUGACGGGUAGCCGGCCUGAGAGGGUGACCGGCCACAUUGGGACUGAGAUACGGCCCAGACUCCUACGGGAGGCAGCAGUGGGGAAUAUUGCACAAGGGGCGGAAGCCUGAUGCAGCAACGCCGCGUGGGGGAUGACGGCCUUCGGGUUGUAAACCUCUUUCGCCUGUGACGAAGCGUGGGUGACGGUAAUGGGUAAAGAAGCACCGGCUAACUACGU
rnacentral:rRNA from 1 species